CACAGAGGGUCAGUUAUAUGAUAAUAAAUAGAGGUUAGAGGCACAGAGGGUCAGUUAUAUGAUAAUAAAUAGAGGUUAGUGGCAGAGAGGGUCAGUUAUAUGAUAAUAAAUAGAGGUUAGAGGCACAGAGGGUCAGUUAUAUGAUAAUAAAUAGAGGUUAGUGGCACAGAGGGUCAGUUAUAUGAUAAUAAAUAGAGGUUAGUGGCACAGAGGGUCAGUUAUAUGAUAAUAAAUAGAGGUUAGCGGCAGAGAGGGUCAGUUAUAUGAUAAAUAGAGGUUAGUGGCACAGAGGGUCAGUUAUAUGAUAAUAAAUAGAGGUUAGUGGCACAGAGGGUCAGUAAUAGGAUAAUAAAUAGAGGUUAGUGAUCACAGAGGGUCAGUUAUAUGAUAAUAAAUAGAGGUUAGCGGCAGAGAGGGUCAGUUAUAUGAUAAUAAAUAGAGGUUAGCGGCACAAAGGGUCAGUUAUAUGAUAAUAAAUAGAGGUUAGCGGCAGAGAGGGUCAGUUAUAUGAUAAUAAAUAGAGGUUAGUGAUCACAGAGGGUCAGUUAUAUGAUAAUAAAUAGAGGUUAGCGGCAGAGAGGGUCAGUUAUAUGAUAAUAAAUAGAGGUUAGUGAUCACAGAGGGUCAGUUAUAUGAUAAUAAAUAGAGGUUAGCGGCACAGAGGGUCAGUUAUAUGAUAAU